rnacentral:rRNA from 1 species
UACGGAGGAUGCAAGCGUUAUCCGGAAUGAUUGGGCGUAAAGCGUCCGCAGGUGGCUAUGUAAGUCUGCUGUUAAAGAGUGAGGCUCAACCUCAUAAGAGCAGUGGAAACUACAUGGCUAGAGUGCGUUCGGGGCAGAGGGAAUUCCUGGUGCAGCGGUGAAAUGCGUAGAGAUCAGGAAGAACACCGGUGGCGAAAGCGCUCUGCUAGGCCGCAACUGACACUGAGGGACGAAAGCUAGGGGAGCGAAUGGG